AACCUACAAAUGCACUUGUCUAAUACACGGCAGCUGGGUUUCCAUUACCCUUAGAAAUGUACAAAAUGUAAAUUCCGCAAUAGGAAACUGGUAAUGGAAACACCGAAAUGUCACAAAAACUGUCAAAGAUCAUAAAAAGUUUUUAUGCUCCCACGAGGUGGUUUUUGAGACAUUUCGAUAUAGAAGUAUAGCAUAGAAGUGUAAUGGAAACACAUUUUGUGCAUCGUCACACAUCUGUGCAUGGUGGUUUUGCUCAGGCCAAACAUCUCCCCUAUGACCCUGCACUCAGAGCAGGUGGUUCUAGUUUGUUU